rnacentral:pre_miRNA from 1 species
CAGGCACGGGAGCUCAGGUGAGGCAGGGAGCUGAGCUCACCUGACCUCCCAUGCCUGUG